GACGAACGCUGGCGGCGUGCUUAACACAUGCAAGUCGAACGGAAAGGCCUGCUUUCCCUUGUGGAUUGCGGGUACUCGAGUGGCGAACGGGUGAGUAACACGUGAGUGAUCUGCCCCCAACUUGGGUAUAAGCCUGGGAAACUGGGUCUAAUUCCCGAUAGGACUGCAGGGUGGUGCCUGUGGUGGAAAACGAUUUUCUAGUGGUUGGGGAUGAGCUCGCGGCCUAUCAGCUUGUUGGUGGGGUAAUGGCCUACCAAGGCGGCGCCGGGUAGCCGGCCUGGGAGGGUGGACGGCCACAUUGGGACUGAGAUACGGCCCAGACGCCUACGGGAGGCAGCAGUGGGGCAUAUUGCACAAUGGGCGGAAGCCUGAUGCAGCGACGCCGCGUGGGGGAUGACGGCCUUCGGGUUGUAAACUCCUUUCGACCGCGAGGAAGCCACCUGGUUGGAAGGGUGGUGACGGUAGUGGUAGAAGAAGCACCGGCUAACUACGUG
rnacentral:rRNA from 1 species